CUUGGUCAUUUAGAGGAAGUAAAAGUCGUAACAAGGUCUCCGUAGGUGAACCUGCGGAGGGAUCAUUACAAGUGACCCCGGUCUAACCACCGGGAUGUUCAUAACCCUUUGUUGUCCGACUCUGUUGCCUCCGGGGCGACCCUGCCUUCGGGCGGGGGCUCCGGGUGGACACUUCAAACUCUUGCGUAACUUUGCAGUCUGAGUAAACUUAAUUAAUAAAUUAAAACUUUUAACAACGGAUCUCUUGGUUCUGGCAUCGAUGAAGAACGCAGCGAAAUGCGAUAAGUAAUGUGAAUUGCAGAAUUCAGUGAAUCAUCGAAUCUUUGAACGCACAUUGCGCCCCCUGGUAUUCCGGGGGGCAUGCCUGUUCGAGCGCCAUUUCACCACUCAAGCCUCGCUUGGUAUUGGGCAACGCGGUCCGCCGCGUGCCUCAAAUCGACCGGCUGGGUCUUCUGUCCCCUAAGCGUUGUGGAAACUAUUCGCUAAAGGGUGUUCGGGAGGCUACGCCGUAAAACAACCCCAUUUCUAAGGUUGACCUCGGAUCAGGUAGGGAUACCCGCUGAACUUAAGCAUAUCAAUAAGCGGAGGA
rnacentral:rRNA from 1 species